rnacentral:tRNA from 1 species
AGAGUUUUAAGUUAAGUAAACUAUAAGUUUUCAAGACUUAUAAUAAAUAAUGUUGUUUAAAUUCUG